GCCGGGAGCGGGAGCCUGGCUGUGAGGGGAUGCUCUGCUCACCGGGCAGCUCGGUCUGUCCGGGACAGCGCCCCGGAAGGUUGUGUAUAGGAGGAGGCACUCUGCUGAAAUACGUGGACUGAGGAGAGGAUUAGUUUUAGGAGGAAGGUGAAAAGUAAAGUGGCUUCAAAACUGAGCAAAUUCUCUCGUGGCCUGCGGUGUUUGAAAACAAACCUGUUAACAACUUUAAGGUGUUAGGCCCAUACUCCAAUUAUCCAGACUAAGGGACUUCACCUUUGAUAAAAAUGUUCAACUCCGCAGACAUGGUCUUUUCACUGGAUAACUUAUUUUACGAAAAAC